rnacentral:rRNA from 1 species
AUGGAGGUAAGCCAGAUGCGGACCAAGGGGAUCUUGCCGGCGUGCUGCGCGCGACCGGAGCUCGCCGGUACCGGGCGGCGUGGGAGAGAGGGGUUUGGGGGUAAGAGAGGAGGCCACGAGGGUUUGGGUGGCCGUGGGCCUAAGAUCUUCAAGAUCAGUGGUCAAGUGUCUCAUCGUAUUGGUUCACUGGUGCCCAACGGUGAUGAUGCUCCUAAGUUUGCUGAGUUGUACAUACAUGACCCCGCUAAUGAGAUUAUACAUAGGAUCAAUGCUUUAAAUCCAGACGAUAAACCUACUGGGGGGUCGAUGAGAACCUUUAGGGAGAAGAGUAAGAUGAUAGAGGAUCGCGGUGAUGAACCUAUCGAGGAUAUCUCGAUUCGUAUUAUAGGGCCUUCAGAUGAUGAUAGUCCACAAUUUAGCUUGCCUACAACUAAUGGGAAAGCUGCUUUGGUUGUCGGUGGUGGGUUCACGUUAGAGGCGUCUUCCCAGGAUAUUGUUGUCCGCAGUCGUUCUGAUGGUUUGCAGCAGAUAUCUUCUCUGAACGCUGCGUUCAUGCCUCUGCAAUACCCAUUGCUUUUUCCUUAUGGUGAGAGGGGGUUCCAGAUUGAUGUUCCUCACCUGAUUGUUCCUGAAGAAGGUGAUGAUGAUGGGGCCGUAGAUCCUGAUCCUGCACCUGGAAGUCCAUUUGUUGAGGCGUCUUCUUUGUAUCCUUCUGGGGGUGGUGACUCGGACACGAAUAGUCGGAAUAGGAUGACCAUGCAAGAUUACUAUCGUUUUAUGUGCCAUUACAAAGGUGAUCAACCCAAUCCAUAUAUAUGCUAUGGUCUCCUCUCCUCCCAGUCCGUUGUUGAUGCAUGCGCGUGCAUCGAUGAGAGUAGACUGUGGUAUAUCAUAAGAAAUCAGGACAUGUUCAGAUCAGAGCAUAUGCAGGGUAUCACCGAUGCAAACUUCCAUGAUGGCAUUGCCAUUUGUCGGGUGCAUGAUGCACCAGACGUAUUUACCACUUUCACUUGUAAUCCCAAGUGGCCCAAGAUCACCACUGCAUUAGAGCCAGGGCAGGCACCUUCUGAUAGGGCAGAUGUUGUUGUUAGGGUCUAUCACAUGAAGCUUGCCGAGUACUUGGAUGAGAUCAAGUCAGGCCGGGCUUUUGGCCCCAUUAAAGCUGUCCUAUAUACUGUUGAGUUCCAGAAGCGUGGGCUGCCACACACGCAUAUACUUGUCUGGUGGAUAGGGGGCAACGGUGAGAUUGGUGUUGAAAAUAUUAAUUCAUUAAUAUCUGCUGAGAUACCCGAUGCGUUGCUUGAUCCUCUAGGGCAUGUUGUUCCUUAUAAUAUGGCGAUGCUCAAGAAAUUUCAGGGUCAUAUAAAUGUAGAGUGGUGUAAUAAGACACAAGUGAUGAAAUACCUCUUCAAGUACGUCACCAGGGGUGCUGAUUACUCUAAGGUCAUGUUAGCAAGUUUAACGGUGGUCGUGUGUUUUGGUGAUGACCCUUUUGUUGUAGAUGGCGAUGGCUGGUCUGCAGUCUCUUGUUGUCGGGACAGGAACUUGACCAUCCGUGUGUAUGUUUCGCGUUUGUGGCAGCACCGUGGGGACGCUGAUGACGGUCCUACUAAACACACUGACAUGGUCCUUUUGGAUGCCCAAGGAAACCACAUCUAUGGUGAGAUUGGUGAGAAGCUUGUGCCUAAGUUUAUGGGCAAAAUGAAGGCAGGAUGUGCAUAUGACAUUUCACAGUUCUUGGUGUUCCUGAACAAACCUUGUUUCAAGCCUAUCUAUGCGAUACACAUGAUCAGGUUCAAUAGGUUCAGUACGGCCGAUCCUAAUACUGAUCCAGAAGCUCAGUUUCAGUAUCAUAGCUCGAACAGGAGCGAGCCUUCCACAAAGCGUUGUAUCAGUAUCAUGGACCUAAGGUAUGCCAUCUUGCCCUGUCAGGGAGACUACAUUAUCGAGCUGGGCUCGAUUGAACCAGUGGUUGCACUAUUUGUUGGAACUCUGGUGAAGGCCUAUGAAGGUCGAAGGGGUGUGAGAGGAAGUGCAGCGUGUCGGUGGUACAUAAAUGAUGACACUUCUGAGAUGAUAGACUUCCAUAAGAGUGUCGGUAUAAAGAGAGUGCCAGCAAGUGGUCUACCUAAGUCUGUGUUGUGUAAACCCUUAUUUUCCGAUGGCCGUGCUCAGGGGCUCAAAAAACUGGAUGAUGCUCUGCUGGUCUCGGUGUCUGGGCUACCACUAAGCAAGAAAUUAACGUUGGAACCGGCACUCCGCGCCAAGGCGCGCUCCCGAUAUAGUUGGAAAAUUCAUGGAGAUAUCCAAGCUGAAAUCGUCGUCACCUCGCCUCCUAACAAUAAGGUGCGUUCUCGCGGUGAUCAAAGAACCGCCCACGGAGUGCAAGAGCAAUCUCAUCGUGGACCCUCCAUUGGAGUUUCCCGGCCGCCUCCACUGCACCCUCAAGAACGGGAGAGGCACCGACAUCACGCUCCUCGUGGGAGGCAGGGAGUUGCCCGGCUUGCCGUGCAGUCCACGGUUUUCGACGCUCAGCUCUUCGGUCCGAUGAUGGAUAAGGACACACCGUGCAUAGAGAUCGUUGACAUGGAGCCGGCCAUCUUCGAGAUGCUUCUUCACUAUGUCUACACGGAUUCACUGCCACCGUGCAGUGACGGUGACUACGAUGCAGCCACACUGCAGCAUCUGCUAGUUGCCGCGGUCCGGUACGGGCUGGACAGGUUGAAGGUGAUGUGCGAAAAGAGGUUGUGCAGAAACAUCGACGCGAGCACAGUCACGAGCACAUUGGCACUAGCAACUCACCACAACUCUGACCAGCUCAAGGAUGCAUGCCUAGAGUUUAUAUCGUCGUCGCGGGAAGUCAUGGAUGCAGUCGUGGUAACCGACGCGUUCAAACACCUAAUGGCAAGUUGCCCCAUGCUGGAGCUGGAUAAGAGUCUCGGGCAAAAAUUACCCAUCAAGAGGAAGAAAACUCUGAUUAGCCUCCUCAGCGAUCUUCAUCAAGCUCCGCCACUGAGAAGAGCCCCGUCUUCCUCCUCUGACGUCCCAACGCUAGCCUCCGAGUUCUACCUUGUUGACAUUGGACGCUUCACCAGGUGCAGCUCGAUCGAUCCAAGUGGUGUCGCGCUGCGGCUGCGGUCACAAUCAUGUUUGCUCCAGGUGCAGUGUCAUACACCUUUGACUGGGGUAGUUUUCCCAGAGAGGGGAGGGGGGGGGGGGGCAAGUGCCCCCUUUGGCCCCGUGAAGCUCCGCCACUGUAUGCAUGUACAUAGAUUUCUCACCGCGGCCAACCAGCUUGCACCAUGUGGCAUAGCUGGUUGGCCCCCCUUCAUGCGACACUUACUGAGUUUAAUGAAGGAUACGGAGGGCAUGCAUGUAGUAGAAAGUAGAAAGUUAAAUGGUUACGUGGGCGCUUGA